GCCGUUCAAACCGUGCGCUCACAGAAUGCGCGCGGGUCUGGGUCGGGUCGAACAAAGUGAACCGGGUCAGUUGACCCGAUAUAUAUAUAUAUAUAAAAAAACAACUGUUUCCUUUCUCCACUCUCUUCUCUCAUCCUCGAUCUCUCGUUCUCCCCCUCUCUCUCUUCUUUCCCCUGACCUCUCUCUCUCUCGAUCGCACACAUGUAGGCUCCGCUUCUUCGCCGCCGUCCUCUCGACGGCGGUGCCACCUCUCUCACCCCUCUUUUCUCCUCUCUCACCAUCUCGCUUCGACCAUCUUUCCGUCUCCUCUGAAGAUUUUGAUUCUACUGAGCCCAAAAUAAUCUCCAAUUUCUAAAAUGAAAUCCCUAAAUCCUUCCCCCAAUUCCUGUAAGUCGUCGUCGCGACUCACCACCACCACACCUGCCGCUGAGUCCUGACAAGUUGUCGUCCUUUUCCCCAGCUCCAGUCGAGGGUUGCCGCGCGUUGCUCGAUUCUCUACCUCUCCAGCCGCGC
rnacentral:lncRNA from 1 species